GGGGGGGGAGAGCUCAAGGGGUGGUAAUGUGUUGCUGGAUUUAAGUGGGGAGGGAAGCCGGCGAGGGCAGGUGAGAGGCAGCGAGAGACGCCUCUGACCUAUUUUGAAAGAGUUGGGAUGCUGCCUGGACCCCACGAGCAGCGCCCUCUGCUGGCGCGAAAUAACUACUACACCAGGAGGCCAGAGGCCCGUCCAGGUGUUCUCAUUCCUCACUAGAAAGUCAGCUUUUUACAAAUCACUCGCGUCUGAUCGGCUCAUGCAUCACUUUGCCCCCGUUGACGACAGCUGUCGGGGGGGGAUUUUGGUCCUCGGGCCCCCAAAAACAGACGAGCUGCUGAUGACUGUGACUGCAGGAAGCGGCUGAGCGGCGCCCGAGAUCUCACUUUCUCCUGGAAGAAAAAGUACAGAUUAUGUCACCGUCGACACCUUGAUUCUGCCGAACUGCAUGUGCUGAUACGAGGCUGGUGUGUUUCAUGGAGCCGCGUCGCACCCACGAGUGUGAGAGCGCAUCAAGCAACUGUGUGUGUCCGCGUGUUGUCGUGCGCUCGCUUGCCUGCACGGGAGUGUGAGGGUGUGAAGCUGCAGUAUCUCGAACUCUCGUUUCUUUUUAUUGAUGUCUGCUUACAAAUGAACUUAAACGCUUUUAAGUCGCCUUUAAUCAAGCUGACAGAAAUGAAUCAGACCGCAUGUGAAUAACGUGAGAAAACACCUUCAGCAACUUUAUUCAUACCAUAGAGUUUUACUCAUUAUAAUGACGUGUGUGUGUGUGUGUGUGUUAUGUGCAGGUACUGAGGCCAGGUGUGCAGUGGGGUUACGCCAUGGAUCACACAUCCAGGCUCUCUGCUCCGGGACAGAAGGCCGUCAAGGAGCCUCCCAUCGUUGCCGGCGUUCGUCGGGCACGUUGACGCUGAUUGCCCGCUUAACUGCUACAUGCCGGGGUUAAUGGCGAUUGAUUGGUUGCUGUUAAUCGCUGUGUUGGGUUUUUUUUUUGUUUUUUUUGGGGGGGUUGAUUACCUGGCAGGGUCGCAUUGAUCACUCAUUAAUCAGCGUGUCGUCGCCGCUUCUUCCGCCGUGGCUGUGAGCUCGCUGUCAUUUAGCGCUUCGCUGGUGCAAUAUUGUCACGAUGGCGCCCCGGGUGACAAAUGUCUGCUGUGUUACGGAGUCACUGGUCGGUCGGCCAAACGCCGCAUUCACAUGGAGUCUAAACUGGGGAGGACGUGGAGGCGCUGCAGAGUCCAACUUCCUCUGUCAACACACAUCCCUAUAAUAUGAAGAAUAAGAGCCGCUAAGCAGACCCACACAGAACUCUGCUUCUUCUUGUUCUUGGUACCCAGCAAAAGGAGAGACCACGUCCUGCUUUGAUCCGGAAAAGGGGUCCAACAGGGCCCCCGAAACAGAAGACAGGCCCACCAGAUGUGUCCUCCCUCAUACUCACUAUGUUUCAUUUCAAAACGUGGUCCACGUGAGCUCAGCGUGGUGAUGCUCCAUGGAUUCUUUCCUCACUUCUCCACCGGAAUCAGGUCCGCGGUCGUGUCGGGUCAGGGGAUGGUGCAACUUUAAAAUAGAAGUUUACUCUCCCCUCUCCCCCUUUCUCUCCCUGCCUCUCCCUCCGUGUCAUUCCUAUCGGUGCCUUUCCUCGACCCUCCAUUAGAAACCUUGUCUAAGGCAAUGAGUUUAAAGUCAGGGUGCCUGUCUCUGCUUUGGGAAUAGAAACAGCGUGUGCGUGCGUGCAUGCGUGUGUGCGUGUGUGUGUGUGUGUUACUGCGCACCCAGGAAUUUGAGAAUAAUUCCAUGUGCUUGUGUGCAGGCGCUCGGGCUUUGAGGUACGCUUUGACAGCUGCAAAUUUAAUAAGCAAACGUUAAAGGUUGGAGGGAGAGAUGGAGGAGGGGGGGGGGGGGAUAUGCAAAGGGCUCUGCUUAUGAAAUAUGAAUGACUGUUUCUGCAUCAUCUGCAGCGGGCUUGAUAUCGUCUCUGGUCGGCAAUUCCCCCGCUGGCCCUGAGCGGGAUGCACAGGCCAGCAGCCUCGUGAGAUGAGGAGGAUACUCGGGCCGCGUGAAGCUGCCUUUCUUCAACUCGUCAAGUUUUAGCGGGCGCCGCGUCACGUCUCCACCUAAAGCGAUAUUUCUCUUUGGUGGAAGGCCUUUUUUUCACGUUUUAGCAUGCGCGCGCCGGAGCGGCUGCAUGAGCAGUCGGUCGCCAAUACUAAGUGACUCCGCUCUGCUAAAUCGAUGUCGCGCACUUUGUCUCAGUUUGGUAGCCAGCGAACUAAAGCAAAGUCGGUCGGAAGAUGUGCUGCACCGCAAGUUUUUAGUUGUUUAUUAACCAGUCGAAAAAAGAACAGGAAAUUGACCCAUUUGUGAAUAAGAAUCAAAGUGUGGAGAGAAUAACUAAAUCUACAGCGUGAUACUUUUUGCGUCUAAUAGCCGGCACAUAUUUCACUCAUUUGUAUGAAUGCGCAACUCUUUGCAGAUGUUCGGUGUAUUUUAUAAUAUAUCCUAUCUGGUUUGUGGUCUUCUGGAUCACUUUCAUGAGCAUUUCUGUCGGUCAGUUUAAAAAAAUCAAAAAAUGUGGUUAUAAUCCAAAUCGCAGGGGCUUAUGAACAAAGUGCUCAUCAGGUUGAUCUAGAAUAGGGCCCGGCAUUGUGUUUUAUCUGACUCUAAAACAUGCAUCAAUGUGUACAUUUAAGUAUUAUUCCUGGUCAGGCUGGAAAUAUUUGCUUAUGGAAAACAUUUUUAAACCCAUUUUUAGCAUAAACCUUUCUGAAAUUGUUGUGUAAAUCGUCAUUUAGAUGCAGAAGACAUUCAUGUAGUCUGCUACGGUCUGUGGGAUAUGAUAAUCAGGAUUGUGGGUUUACAAAGAAACCAAAUCUUUUCCUGAAUAUGUUUCUGAACGGGUCCCUAAAAUGAAUGAAAAGUUUUAGUUUGCAGUAAAACAAGACGAUAGAUAGUCAAAGCAACAUACCAACGGAGCAAAAACAUACAUUUCAAACACGUUCAGGAGAGUCAUGCAGUUCAAACCGUAACCAAACCACAGAAGUAAAACACGUAAAUCCGCUCCGAUCACAUGGGAGGAAGCCGUCUUGAGAGCAGAUACAAUUAGCAUUAACUCAUGAAACAAACAGAGAGCUGACACAUUGUUGUACAAUGACAUCAUUUGUAUUAAGAGCCGGCGUGUUGUUUGUCUUCUCAGCUGGUGAAACAGCCAAAACUCUUUGCAUGAUUUUGCAGAAUGAAUAAUUCCGUCUCACAGUUGUCAAAAGCUUUGGGACCAGACAAAUGAUUGACAGUGUGGAAUUGGGUUAAAGUUUUUUUACACACACCGACUCGUAACAAAGAGGUCGGCAAACAAGGUCAUCGGGCAGUUCCCUCGUCCCACUCCUCUAUCCCGCAUUCCUGAUGCAUAUCGACCCCUUCGAACUUAACGUCAGUUUCCUUUUGUUCCAACAGAGGGGGGGGCGCCCGACCCCCACCCCCCUUUUUCUGAUGAUGAAAUGCGGAAGAAAUAAGUUCAGCUUCUGCGCCUGGUUGUGCAAAGAGAGGAGCCCUCCCUCGCCGUGUUCUCCCAGGUGCCGUGGUUCUCCAUACUGCUCAGUUUAACCCCUCCGUCCCUCUUCUUCAACCCUAAUUACACACUCGCACACAACACACACACACACACACACACGACUUUCUACAAGUUCCCCAGCGGCGGAGGACCGGCUGCAUGAUUGCACUGGGCUCGAUUAGGAAGAACCCGACGGGGGUUUACAGGCACAUGCAACGGCUCUCAUUAGCAGUCUCAGUCAGAUGAAGUGCAGAUGAAAAGAGGUUUCACCCCUGUGUGUGUGUGUGUGUGUGUGUGUGUGUGUGUGUGUGCGUGCGCUGUGCUGUUUUCCGUGAACUUGUAAUAUGCAUCACUGCACUGCUGAAACACACACACACACACACACACACACACACAGACACACACAGCAGAGCUUAUGGCAUUGUUUUUACCUGCUUUGUGGAAGGCGAGAGAGCAUUUGCAUCGGAGCCAGAGGAGGACACUUGUUUCCUCCAGAACGGCGUGCGCCUGCCAGCAGGGAUGAGUGAACGUUGUUUAAGUCUGUGUGAAUGAUUGCAGUAUCGCUGUUAACCAAUCUACAUAUUUCUUCAUUAUGUUUUUUUAUGUAGAUUUCCCGUUGCAGGGAUUCCUGGGUGGACAGAGGUGGUGGUGCUUCGUCUAUUUUCUUUAGCUAUAAAAUCUGCUGAUUAUUUUUCUCGCUGAAAGAAUUAUUUGUUUGAUGUAUUAAAUGUGACAGAAAUCCCAAUUUCUUAAAGCCAAGCUGAGAUGUAUUGCCCUUCGUGUGCAUGUCAGGCUCACAGGAAGGUGUCAUCUCCUUGAAAAAAAAAUAUUAUAUGAAAUAAAGCGCACAAAUCCUUCCGACUGAGAGGGAAAAUUUGCUUGAAUUAUUACACAGUUGAUAAAUCAUGAAAAUAUUUGGUGUUUCAUUUAUCUGAUCAGUAAUUGACUAAUUGGUUUCAGCGUGAAAGAGUUGCUCCCAAACUCCCAAGUACUACCCCAAAAAUACCCAAAAAGGUUUAUGAGUUUUUUGUCUGUGGCCACACGUCACAUCACGUCCGGCUACAUUCAAACAAUGUCGGAGGCGGAAAAGAGGCCGCGGACACCGUUAAAUGUCCCACAACAGAGAAAAUCCAAACAGAGGCGUGUGCCAGUGAUCACAUAGUGGUUUACAACCAUUAUGGACGUGGCCGAUUAUUAGAAGCCCCUUGUCCACAGCGACCUCUUCCCUCUGCAGACUCUCUGUGAUUACGUCCUCUGCUCCCGAUUGACGUUGGCAUUCAUGGUUCCCACAGCCGCUAGAAGCAUGUGUCCUUUUGGGUAUUUGCUGAAAUGAGGACGACCGACCGACCGACCGACCUCCCACCAAGUGUAGACGGUUUUAACACUUUAACACGCGGUGCUGUGAGAGUCUCCAGCAAGUUAGCAGGUCGCUAAAAGUGAUGAAUUCAGCUCCAGACGCUACGCAAAAUAUAAAAAAUCCACUGAAUCUGUUUAUCAAUGUUGAACAACUUCCUGUUUACUUCCUUUAUCAGUCCAGAAGAGCGGAUGGAAAGCAGCGAGGUGGUGUUGGUGAAGGGAACACAGGCCGAGAACAUGGCGAGCCCCCAUUGGACAUAUUUCUCUCCUCACGUUUCUUUCUCUUGCUUCCCCUUGGAGAAUCAGUGGAGAAGUGCUAAAAGCCACCGCGGUGUUGGCGGCUUGCACAGUGGCACAAAGUGGACCUCCACAACUGGCGCAGCUGUUGCUACGUGUCUUUUUUUAACGUGCGCUUUGGAUUCUUUGCAUUGAGUCUUUGUCUGCACAGUGGUGUUUUUUUGCACUUUUUUUUACCAUAGAAAUCUCAAAGAGGGUCAGUAGUGCUGUAAUUAGUGAUCUGUCGCGUUUCAGGGUUCGGGUCCCCUUUCAAGGCCCCGGUGGAUUUGGGUGGAAGGCGCUUGAUCUUCAAAUGUUCCUGUUAAACCAGUCAGAUUCCAGCCCCCACCUCAAAAACCUAUACCCACAUUUACACUUGGGCUUAUUGGAUGUGAACACGCGCCUGCGUGUAGCUUUCCUCUCGGCUCAGGCCACUGACUUUGAGUCCUUUUGAACAGGCAGUAACGCGAGGCAACCCACGACAGGCGGGACGACCCUUGAUCACCGCUAAUCAUCUAAGUGGACGUGAGGCCCCCCCCCCCCCCCCGAACCCGACGGAGCGCCGCGUCCGGGAGGCCCGCGUGGGUACCAGCCUUCAAACCCGGGAGGGGGAACAUGCUUUUGAGUGGGCGCGCUCCUUCGCCCGUUUGUGCGCUGCUGCCCCGCCGUGCGCGUCACGCUCGCAAUUGGAAGGCGCCGUCUCCUUGAACAUCAUUGAAAACGCGCAGCCGAGUUUGUCCAACCUGUCAAGCGCAAAAGGAGCCGCGGAGGAGCUCGCCUUUUAAUGAAGCCGAGGCCAUUUAAGAUUCAUGAAAGGGUUUUCAUCCCAACUACAAUGGACUGUCAUUACGCUUGAAUUCAAAAUGGUUGCGUCACCUUUUCUGAAAAUAUCUGCGCUUGGAUUGUGAAGACGAUGCGUUUAAUUCCCCGGUGAUUUGGAGAGUGGAGGUUUUUACGCGUGCGCAGAACUAUUACAGAACUUUUUUGAAUUUGUGACAUCAAAAAAUAAGGAAAACUUUUUACCAAAAAAAAGGCCGGCGCACAUUUACAUAAUGAAUCAAUGUUGCGUGGUCCUAAGUCAUGUCUGGUCACUGAAGUGCCUGAUAAAAAAAAUCCAGAGAUUAGGACAUAGAUGGUCAAAGUGUCCUUGGAAGUAUCGAUCACUGAUGGAGGGAGUCUGACAAUAACAUAAGAAGAAAUAGUGGCCCGGUUGGGCGUUUUCAUUCCUACUAUGAACACUUAGUGGGAUGCACGGCCGUUGAUGUGUUCUUGCUCCUUAAUUCUUGCCCAGGAGUUCCUCUUUUAACCGCGUGUUUGUGUUUACGCCGACAUUCGGCUGCGAUGCGGAAGGACUCGUCCGCACAUUUGCUCGUGUACCGAUCCGGUAGAGUUAUUACAGAACUUCUGGAGCACAUUGGCAAUGAAGCAUUGUUACAGAUGCGUGUGAAGGCAGCCGAGGAACGUGACGUGUAGAGAACAGGGAGGAGGAUGGAAACGUGUACUUCAAAUUUGACAUUGGAAGGUCAAGUGUCGUAUAAAGUGGUCGGUGUAUUUUUGAUACAGAUUAAACCUCCCACCAGUGUUCUCUGGGUCCACUUGACCUGAGGAUGGACAGGUUUUAGAUUCAGUUAUUCUUCACCUAUGGAUGUUUUUUCGUGUUAAAUGCAAACCUUGCAUUCUCUCGGUCCGCCCCAAAGCAAAUAACAGCCAUUGUGUCACUUUUCUUAAGCAGUAUACGUCCUUGCAUUAUCUGUCAGGCUGAUAUGUAGAUAGAUAAAUAAUUUCUGAGUGCCUUUGCCCCCAAGAUGUACCGAGGAGAGAGCAGUACAAACAGAAACGCUGCGGGGCGCCUUAUGUUUGUGCACAAGGAUGGCAAAGACUAUAUGGUUACGGCAUCGUCAUCACGGACCUUCCAUCUGUCGUUCUUUGGGGAAACGGGGCGCUAGCUGUGCUUCAAGCCCAGAGUUUGAGUUACAGCAGUGCGAAGAUCCUCAUGCUGGCGGGUGGAUCAGAACCAGAGCCCUGUCUAAAGAAUAGCAGGAGUGCCCCCCCCCCCCUUCUUAUAUUGUAAUACGAAAUAAAUAGAUCCAAGCUAGAAAGUGUUCAGGAUCCCCUUUUUUUUCUUUUAAAAUACUCCAGUUCAAAAUCCAGCCGGUCUCGCUUUCCACUAAAUAGAAGUGCUACAGUAUGCGUGUGCAAUCCCACCGUUGUGCAGAUUAAUGUUUGCAAGCUACAUUGUGCGUAGAAGGAAGGGAAAAGCAAGUGAGAGAUGGAGGGAGAGCGAUGCAGCUCAUGAAAAAACAACACUAUCAAACGAGGGCUUCAAAGACUAUCAGCCGCGUCUCCUGGGUAAUUUGCAAUCCUGCAUUCUCUCGACUUCAAAGGGCCGCUGUGUGUUGGAAUACUGCAAGUGGGAGAGUGAGCAGAGGGGGUUUGGGGAGGGUUGGUGG
ensembl:lncRNA